rnacentral:lncRNA from 1 species
ACACUCUUUGAAAGAAAGUCACUAUGUGCAGUUAUGGCCCAGUUCCUUGAGGUUGGAGUAUCUGAUUUUUCUGCACAGAGCAAGGCAAUUUACUUCUAUAGAAGGGUGCGCCCUCACAGAUGGAGCAAUGGAUGACCUGCCUGCAGAAGGAGCUACCCACUGAAGGUCUCUUCUCUGCUGAGAGCUGGACACUCAUUGGGAUGAACUGCCUGUGGAAAGGAGCUACCCACUUUGGGUCUCUAGAGAGCUGUUCUGUUGCUCAGUGAAGCUCCUGUGCAUCUUGCUCACCCUCCAAUUGUCUGCAUACUUCAUUCUUCCUGGACAUGGGACAAGAACUCAGGACCAAAUGGUGGGACUGAAAGAGCUAUGACACAAACAGGGCUCAAGAUUUAACAGCCAACAACAAAACAAAAUAAAGCAAAAUAAA